AUUGAACGCUGGCGGCAGGCUUAACACAUGCAAGUCGAGCGGGGGAAGGUAGCUUGCUACCGGACCUAGCGGCGGACGGGUGAGUAAUACUUAGGAAUCUGCCUAUUAGUGGGGGACAACAUCUCGAAGGGGAUGCUAAUACCUCAUACGUCCUACGGGAGAAAGCAGGGGCUCUUCGGACCUUGCGCUAAUAGAUGAGCCUAAGUCGGAUUAGCUAGUUGGUGGGGUAAAGGCCUACCAAGGCGACGAUCUGUAGCGAGUCUGAGAGGAUGAACCGACACAAGGGGACUGAGACACGGCCCAGACUCCUACGGGAGGCAGCAGUGGGGAAUAUUGGACAAUGGGGGGAACCCUGAUCCAGCCAUGCCGCGUGUGUGAAGAAGGCCUUAUGGUUGUAAAGCACUUUAAGCGAGGAGGAGGCUACUCUAGUUAAUACCUAGGGAUAGUGGACGUUACUCGCAGAAUAAGCACCGGCUAACUCUGUGCCAGCCGCCGCCGUAA
rnacentral:rRNA from 1 species